UUGGAUGCUUGCUUGCUGGCCCAGGAUCAACUGUAACUUUAUUAGAAUGUUGAUUUCCUGGGCCAGCAAGCAAACAUCCACCCACGU